CUGGCAUUUGCCAGAUCUGGCUGCUCAUCUUGGAGGGUAACAUCCUUGCCCGCCUGCUUCUCUUUGUACCGAAGACUCUUGAGGAUGGGGAUUUUCCCCAGCAUCUCAUAGCUGACCUUAUGCCACAGUAUUCCAUGUGGUUUUGGUCGUUUGCAAUUAGUCUUGAUAGUUCUUGUUGGUGUGAGUAUAUAAUCAACGGUUAAAUCGUGAUCACCAAGGAGCUCUUCUGCUAUGUCAACUACCUGGCAGUCAUGCACGAUAGUAAUCACAGGUGUGUCCUCUGUCACUGCUCCCAUUGACACCAUCAUUGCAUAUUCCAUGUCUGCAUAACCUUCUCCUUUUCCAAUUCUCCAGCCUUUUUCAGAGACAGCCACUGAUCCUACAACAACCAAGUCCACUCGUGCUUUCCCAUCAAGACCCACAGGCACACUGUACUCUUU
rnacentral:lncRNA from 1 species